UACCAGCACCCCGAGUGGUCGGGACGAUUAUUGGGCCUAAAGCAUCCGUAGCCGGUUCUACAAGUCUUCCGUUAAAUCCACCUGCUCAACAGUUGGGCUGCGGAGGAUACUAUAGAGCUAGGAGGCGGGAGAGGCAAGCGGUACUUAGUGGGUGGGGGUAAAAUCCGUUGAUCCAUUGAAGACCACCAGUGGCGAAGGCGGCUUGCCAGAACGCACUCGACGGUGAGGGAUGAAAGCUGGGGGAGCAAACCGG
rnacentral:rRNA from 1 species